AAAACAAAAACAAAAAACAAACAAACAAAAAAAAAAACCAACAAAAAAAAAAUCUUAUUGCUAAAAGAUGCUAAGGAAGUGGGCACCUGAUGGCCUGAUGUUGGAAAAGUGGCAUGGACAGACUUGCUUGACUCACAGUUGUCACAGACCUUCCAUUUGUAAAAAAACACAGUAUCUCUGAAAUGCACUCCAGCUAGCUUGGCAUGCCUGGACUUUUCUCCUGUUAGUCUUUUGGAUGUCGAUUUAAUUCUUGGGUCCAGCCUAAGAGGAUGGAGGUGCAGUUUUGUCUUCCUUGUAAUAUGGAUAUCAAGUUUCCUUUAAAACAAGAUUAAAGGCGUUUUCUUUUAAAGGUAACAUGUUUUAAGAAAAAUAUUAAGUACUGAUAAAGUGUCUUGCAAUGUGACACCUGGAGCCUCUAGGUGAUAUGUGGAUAUAGCAAAGAUCUAGAAGAUGGCAAAAGUUAGGCAAACUUAUAUAAUUUACUUUGUUCUGACACCUCUUUCUGCUUUUGGAAACUGCGUGUCCCAGGGUCAACAUUGAAUCCCCCCUCUAUCUUAAACACAGGGGCAGGUGUUCCCCUCUCUCAACUUAACGGUGCCGUGUAUCUAUCCCUUUAGUUUCCUUUUUUUUUUCUUCUUUAGGCAGAUUCUCACUCUGACGCCCAGGCUGGAGUGCAAAGACAUGAUCUCAGCUCACUGCAAUCUCCGCCUUCCGGGUUCAAGCGCUUCUCCUGAGUAGUUGGGAUUGCAGGCACGUACCACCAUGCCCAGAAGACUUUGUGGUGUGAACCUAAAAUGGUUAUUCCUCCCCUGAGCUUGACUGCUGAAUUACCCAGAGGAGCCCAGUGUCCUCCCAUGAAUGAGUAUAUUAUGCCUUCCAUUAAAAGUUGUGGCCCUUAAUUAAAAACGUGAUCGUGAGUCUUUA